CCAGCCGUUAGAGCUGGGAAGGAGCGGCGGCGGGAGCGGAGCCCGGUGGGCAGCGGGGCCGGGCCGGAGCCGCGGCCGCGAGGCACCUCCUGGGUCGGCUUCGUUCCUCUCAAUUGAAGGUACAGCUGGAGAGCUUUUGGAUGCCAGCUGUGAUACCGGGAGCACAGCUGACACUUCACUGAAGCUUCUGAGCCCUGCUGUGGUGCCUUUGAUCAGUGCUGCCCUGAGCAGACUGUGAGACAAUGCGCAGCCGCAUGCUGCAGAGAGGAACUGUUAUCGCUGUGCCUCGCCUGUCUACGUAGGUAUCCGUUGACAUAACUCCUCAACAGUUUUGGUAUCUGAAAGCCUGAAGUCAUACACUGUGGGAAAACUAGAAAGGAUGAAGCCUGAAUGAGAUUCUUAACUGAAGAGCAGGCAAAAGGGUCUCAACUGAACCAAAAGGGUCUCCGAUAAGGUGAGUUUUGCUCAGAUUAAAGAGGGAUUCGACUGCAAGCUUGAUUUAUGAUAAUUAAAGGAAAAACAAGUUGGACAGGAUGCUGAAGAGAAAAUUGGGGCCUGGUAAUACAUGCAAACAAAGAGAAGCUGUUGUUGUUCAUCUUAGUGCUUUGUUUUCCAGCAGCAGAAGCUGUUGUGUUUUGUCUCCUCCAAACAGGAACUAAUAAUGAUCUGGUGGACAGACUAAGAAAACAGAUAUCACAGAUAUCUUGCUUUUGUGGAAGCAAUUUCUUUUCUUUCCUAAAAAGUAAGAUCUUUUUUGGAGACAUUUUGCAUUUUCCUCUCAGAUAUAUGAAGCGUCCUGUAUGGAAUGCUGCUUGGUGUUCAGCCUGCUUGGUUGCUCCACCUGUUCUGAAGACAGGUAGAACAGCAUACUCAAAAUGUCUCAGGCAAGUGAAAGUGAAACACUGACACUGACAUGCAAGCAGUUUACACUAACCUUUAAACUAAGGCUGAGACUCUUUCCCUUCCUACCCUCUAUGGUGAGGGGAAGCACUAUAACAAUAUACCAAAGCAACCCCUAUUCAUGCUCGUUCUACUGGAGCAUCCCAAAACACCUGACUGGCAAAUUCAGCUUCCAGGACUAAAAUUCAGCUUUUGUGGACCACUUGGCUGUACAGUGUUCUGUAACAUCAUACCCGAAGAAGCAAACAAAGUUCCAAAAUGAAGUUCAAGUCAGCUGCUCUAGUCUCAGUUUUCUUGUGCAAACUGUUUAUUACUGUGCCACAUCUACAGAGCUAUUUUGCAUAAUAAGCCUCUGAAAAUCUAAUCCAACUCUACUACCUUACAAGGACUAGACACAGGAAUAUCUCUCUUCAGCCACUUCUGAGGAUUAGCUUCAAAAAUCAACUUAAAAUGAAGCAAACCCAAAUAGACUGAGUAGUUCCACAAUAAGUUGCAACAUCCAUAUUCAGUAACCAUCACCUGUGCCUCUUGCAUUUUAUGUAACUAUAUGAGGUAUCUGUGCAAGUAGCAUUAUAGUACACCUGCUGCAGAUGGUAAAGGUGAGAAACAAUUUGUGCAUGGCACAUCCAUAUAUUAAGGUUACGAGGCCUUACCUGCACCAGUAUUCCUAUUGAAGUAAAAAAUCUAUUUGAGUUUAUUUCCAAACACUGGGGAGAAACACAUGAUUGUUACAUCACAAUUUGAGGAAAAAAGAGAUCAAUGUGAGAAGUAUCAUGUUCUCCAAGCAGGACUAUGUGCUGUGACUUGCAGAAGUGGCCACAGAACUGUGAGUCUGUACCUGGUUUUACAUUCCUACACAAGCCAUUAUUUUGUAGUACUUUGUCACCAGGAAGGCAUUUAUAAGUAUUUAAAUUGAACAAUUUUUAAAGAAAUUUAAAAAAAAAAGACCAGUGCAUGUAAUAAAGUGUUUGUCUAAACAUAUAUAAUAAAAUAAAACGUGGAAACCUGUUUCUGAGCAAUGGCUAUAAACAAGAGCUAUCCAAUACAUUUUAAAUACUCUUUGGGGUCAAAUGCUAAUACAGAUAUGGUUUUUAACACAUAACUGUUGAAAGCCACAUAAACAAAACUGGAUUUACCAGAAUAACAAUUCCUGUUGCCUUAAGUUAGCAGGGAAAAUUACACACAGUCAACAGUAUGUUUGUGCUGUUCUUCAUUCCUUUGAUCAUACAGUAAGAUGGGAAUUGCAAGCCAGACCAAAACUCAGAAUAUUUUAAGUCACAUAUUAGAGGUCAUUAAUCUCAAAUAAUAACUUAAAAUGUAGCACUGGAAUACUGUUAAGUACUUGAAUCUCUUGUGAUGACAAACAAUACUGAAAAAGUUCUGGAAGUUUAUAAGCAAUUCACAAGGCAGAGGAAGAUGUCUGUGACCAUAAGUUAGAUACACUGGUGAUUUGGAGUUUAAUAGCAUCCAUAAUCCAAAGCACACAAGGAAUGGAAAGGUGAUUUUCAGCAAUAUUCUUGAGUAAGAUGAUAAGAAUAUUAGUAAAAUAGUUUGUGACUACACUUCCCAAAUAUGCUGUUCAGUACAAUUAAAAUAACCAGAAAAGGGAGACAACAUAAGGAAAUUUCUAGGAAUGGUUCAUGUGAUCACAAAAAGAAACUGGACUGUACAAGGCAUUGUUUUGUCUCUAGCCUGUGCAUGAUUUGAAUGCUAAAAAACUAUGGCAGUCCUACUACAGUACUGUUUUUAAAAGGAAAAGAUAAAAUAAUUGCUCUCCUAAUUGCCGCUGGCUAACCUGAAGCAUUCAUAUUGAAAGUGUUGUUACAGAAUCAGUUUUUUGAAUAUGCUGCCUUCUCCAGAUAAACAAUAAUUAGCAUCCUAGAUAGCAAGAAAAUGUAAUAGUAGUGCAAUAAAGGCACUACAGUGAAUGCAAACUCACUUCAGUGCAAGGAAUUUAGCUAAUUCUGUAUCUAUAGUCCCUGGACAGCAACUGCUGUGUUUAUUAAUACAAAAUAUCCCUUCAUUACAGCAGAAAGGCAGUCUGGCAAUCUAUCUCUGCUUGUUAGGAGUCCUUCCCCCACACACUGCUAUGCAUAAAUCUACACAUUUUAUUGCUGUGAUUAAAAACAAAAAUAAAAAGCCUAGCUGGGUCAUUUG